rnacentral:rRNA from 1 species
GAUGAACGCUAGCGACAGGCCUAACACAUGCAAGUCGAGGGGUAGCAGGGUGUAGCAAUACACUGCUGACGACCGGCGCACGGGUGAGUAACACGUAUGCAACCUGCCUACAACAGGGGGAUAGCCCGGAGAAAUUCGGAUUAAUACCGCAUAAAACAGGGGUUCCGCAUGGAAAUAUUUGUUAAAGAUUUAUCGGUUGUAGAUGGGCAUGCGUUCCAUUAGGUAGUUGGCGGGGUAACGGCCCACCAAGCCAUCGAUGGAUAGGGGAACUGAGAGGUUUAUCCCCCACACUGGUACUGAGACACGGACCAGACUCCUACGGGAGGCAGCAGUGAGGAAUAUUGGUCAAUGGGCGAGAGCCUGAACCAGCCAAGUCGCGUGAAGGAUGAAGGUAUUAUGUAUUGUAAACUUCUUUUAUAAGGGAAUAAAGUUUGGGAUGUAUCCUAUUUUGUAUGUACCUUAUGAAUAAGCAUCGGCUAACUCCGUGCCAGCAGCCGCGGUAAUACGGAGGAUGCGAGCGUUAUCCGGAUUUAUUGGGUUUAAAGGGUGCGUAGGUGGGAUUGUAAGUCAGCGGUGAAAAUCCGGAGCUCAACUUCGGACUUGCCGUUGAAACUGUGAUUCUUGAGUGUGAACGAGGUAGGCGGAAUUCGUAGUGUAGCGGUGAAAUGCAUAGAUAUUACGAAGAACCCCGAUAGCGUAGGCAGCUUACCAGGCCACAACUGACACUGAAAGCACGAAAGUGUGGGUAUCAAACAGGAUUAGAUACCCUGGUAGUCCACACAGUAAACGAUGAAUACUAGGUGUUUUGCGAUAUACCGUAAGCGCCCGAGCGAAAGCGUUAAGUAUUCCACCUGGGGAGUACGCCGGCAACGGUGAAACUCAAAGGAAUUGACGGGGGCCCGCACAAGCGGAGGAACAUGUGGUUUAAUUCGAUGAUACGCGAGGAACCUUACCCGGGCUCGAACGGUGGAUGCAUGAUCUGGAAACAGACAGUCCUUCGGGACAUCCAUCGAGGUGCUGCAUGGUUGUCGUCAGCUCGUGCCGUGAGGUGUCGGCUUAAGUGCCAUAACGAGCGCAACCCUUACCGUUAGUUACCAUCAGGUCAUGCUGGGGACUCUAGCGGGACUGCCACCGUAAGGUGUGAGGAAGGUGGGGAUGACGUCAAAUCAGCACGGCCCUUACGUCCGGGGCGACACACGUGUUACAAUGGGUGGGACAGCAGGCAGCUACCUGGCGACAGGAUGCCAAUCCCCAAACCCACUCCCAGUUCGGAUUGGAGUCUGCAACUCGACUCCAUGAAGCUGGAUUCGCUAGUAAUCGCGCAUCAGCCAUGGCGCGGUGAAUACGUUCCCGGGCCUUGUACACACCGCCCGUCAAGCCAUGGAAGCCGGGGGUACCUAAAGUCCGUAACCGCAAGGAUCGGCCUAGGGUAAAACUGGUAACUGGGGC